AGUGAACGCUGGCGGUAGGCCUAACACAUGCAAGUCGAACGGCAGCACAGAGGAGCUUGCUCCUUGGGUGGCGAGUGGCGGACGGGUGAGGAAUACAUCGGAAUCUACUCUGUCGUGGGGGAUAACGUAGGGAAACUUACGCUAAUACCGCAUACGACCUACGGGUGAAAGCAGGGGAUCUUCGGACCUUGCGCGAUUGAAUGAGCCGAUGUCGGAUUAGCUAGUUGGCGGGGUAAAGGCCCACCAAGGCGACGAUCCGUAGCUGGUCUGAGGGGGUGAUCAGGCAGCUGGACCUAGGACCAGGUCGAGACUCCUACGGGAGGCAGCAGUGGGGAAUAUUGGACAAUGGGCGCAAGCCUGAUCCAGCCAUACCGCGUGGGUGAAGAAGGCCUUCGGGUUGUAAAGCCCUUUUGUCGGGAAAGAAAUCCAUCUGGUUAAUACCCGGGUGGGAUGGCGGUACCCAAAGAAUAAGCACCGGCUAACUUCGUGCCAGCCGCCGCCGUAA
rnacentral:rRNA from 1 species